GAUUAUUAAAGAAUUUCGGUUGUCGAUGGGGAUGCGUUCCAUUAGGCAGUUGGCGGGGUAACGGCCCACCAAACCUACGAUGGAUAGGGGUUCUGAGAGGAAGGUCCCCCACAUUGGAACUGAGACACGGUCCAAACUCCUACGGGAGGCAGCAGUGAGGAAUAUUGGUCAAUGGACGAGAGUCUGAACCAGCCAAGUAGCGUGAAGGAUGACUGCCCUAUGGGUUGUAAACUUCUUUUAUACGGGAAUAAAGUGAGCCACGUGUGGCUUUUUGUAUGUACCGUAUGAAUAAGGAUCGGCUAACUCCGUGCCAGCAGCCGCGGUAAUACGGAGGAUCCGAGCGUUAUCCGGAUUUAUUGGGUUUAAAGGGAAGCGUAGGCGGGUUGUUAAGUCAGUUGUGAAAGUUUGCGGCUCAACCGUAAAAUUGCAGUUGAUACUGGCGACCUUGAGUGCAACAGAGGUAGGCGGAAUUCGUGGUGUA
rnacentral:rRNA from 1 species